UACGUAGGGUGCGAGCGUUGUCCGGAAUUAUUGGGCGUAAAGGGCUCGUAGGCGGUUUGUCGCGUCGGGAGUGAAAUCCACUGGCUUAACUGGUGGCUUGCUUUCGAUACGGGCAGACUGGAGGUAUGCAGGGGAGAACGGAAUUCCUGGUGUAGCGGUGAAAUGCGCAGAUAUCAGGAGGAACACCGGUGGCGAAGGCGGCAUCCUGGACCAAUUCUGACGCUGAGGAGCGAAAGCCAGGGGAGCAAACGGG
rnacentral:rRNA from 1 species